rnacentral:tRNA from 1 species
GCGGUCGUGGUGAACUCGGCGGACACGCCGGCGCGCCAAGCCGGAGAAGCGGGUUCGAUGCCCGCCGACCGCU